rfam:Crassostrea gigas strain 05x7-T-G4-1.051#20 contig13612, whole genome shotgun sequence.
CAGCACAUGGCUCAGUGGUCAUGGGCGUUAGGCCAGUAACCGAAAGGUCGCUGGUUCAAACCCCGCUGUGGUCA